GGCUUCGUGGUCGAGUAGUGAGGACACUUGCCUCUCACUCUGGGAUCCCGGGUUUGAUUCCCGGUUGAGGAGCUA